rnacentral:rRNA from 1 species
AUUGAACGCUGGCGGCAUGCCUUACACAUGCAAGUCGAACGGCAGCACGGGAGCAAUCCUGGUGGCGAGUGGCGAACGGGUGAGUAAUAUAUCGGAACGUGCCCAGUCGUGGGGGAUAACGUAGCGAAAGCUACGCUAAUACCGCAUACGAUCUAUGGAUGAAAGCGGGGGAUCGCAAGACCUCGCGCGAUUGGAGCGGCCGAUAUCAGAUUAGGUAGUUGGUGAGGUAAAGGCUCACCAAGCCGACGAUCUGUAGCUGGUCUGAGAGGACGACCAGCCACACUGGGACUGAGACACGGCCCAGACUCCUACGGGAGGCAGCAGUGGGGAAUUUUGGACAAUGGGCGCAAGCCUGAUCCAGCAAUGCCGCGUGCAGGAUGAAGGCCUUCGGGUUGUAAACUGCUUUUGUACGGAGCGAAAAGGCUUCCACUAAUACUGGGGGCUCAUGACGGCACCGUAAGAGUAAGCACCGGCUAACUACGUGCCAGCCGCCGCCGUAACAC